CCUACGGGAGGCAGCAGUGAGGAAUAUUGGUCAAUGGGCGCGAGCCUGAACCAGCCAAGUCGCGUGAAGGAUGACUGCCCUACGGGUUGUAAACUUCUUUUAUAAAGGAAUAAAGUGAGGCACGUGUGCCUUUUUGAAUGUCCUUUAUGAAUAAGGAUCGGCUAACUCCGUGCCAGCAGCCGCGGUAAUACGGAGGAUUCGAGCGUUAUCCGGAUUUAUUGGGUUUAAAGGGAGCGUAGAUGGGUUUGUAAGUCAGUUGUGAAAGUGUGCGGCUCAACCGUAAGAUUGCAAUUGAUACUGGCAGUCUUGAGUGCAGGUGAGGUAGGCGGAAUUCGUGGUGUAGCGGUGAAAUGCUUAGAUAUCACGAAGAACUCCGAUGGCGAAGGCAGCUUACUAAACUGCCACUGACAUUGAGGCGCGAAAGUGUGGGUAUCAAACAGGAUUAGAUACCCCUGUAGUC
rnacentral:rRNA from 1 species